rnacentral:lncRNA from 1 species
AACAGCUGACCUCUGCCUUGCCUUGAGAUUCAUAUUUAUUCCCCUAUCCUUUUCUAACUUAGCCAUUGUCUGUUCUUUGUUUACAGCACUCUGGUGUACCAGAAAAUACGAUUUAAAGAACCAUACAAUCUGGAAGCAAUUCUGUCCGGUGGUUGGAAACACGAGGAGAUCAUCAUUUCGCCCUAAAUAUUUCAUCACCGAAGAACCCUAUAAUUUUAUACAUCACUCAAGUCCUUGCAUAGGAAAUGCGUAAGCGCAGGUUGAAUAAGAAGGUCCCGAAAGAGUUUGCGAAAUCCAGAUCCACCACAAAUCAGACGGACGCCUUCCUCCUCCUCCUCUUCCUCCAGGGUCAGCAAGGAGCGGACUCCCUCACUCUUCCACCAGAGGAUCCUUUUGCUUUUGUCAGAGCAAGAACUGCCGUCCAUUAUCCACCGCGGGCCCCCCCCCACGCCACCCCCCGCACCCAAGGCAGCCGACCAACCCGCUCACCCUCGCAAGAGCCUCCACUUGGGCUACGGCGCUCGGUCCUUAUGGAAAGGUUAUUGCCGGGCUGUUAGGACGAAAUGCGGCGUUAAAAAAAAAGGAUGGAUUAUAUUUUAAGGUCUACCAGGAGGGGCCAUUGGUGGAGGAACGUCACGUGACUGAGGGGUGCCAAUGUUAUUCUUUAAGGGUGUCAAGACCCUGUCAGUUUGUGAAAU